AAUCAACAUAAAAAAUUGAAAUUCAAUUAUAAUAUUUAUAAUUUGAAUUCUUAUAAAAGUAAACAAAAAUAAAAAAUUAUAGAGGAUUAAUCAAUUUCAUAUAAAAAGGCUAUAUAAAUCACGAAAGUCUAGAAACACAAGUUUCCUCGUAAUCUAAGAAAUAACUAAGAUUAAAGGUAAGCCUGAGAAAUAAAUAGAAACCAGUCUUACAAACCGUACUUACAAGGCGUAGUCGUGUCUGCAAUAAAGCCGCAUCCCUCGAAGGAAACAGGAGUGCUGAUCGUGCAGUGGCCUAGCACAGGCGCAACAUUUCAGACAUCUGGAAUGCCAGAUUUGAAAAUUUAGGAAUAGCAGUUUUAAAUUAUGAAUUUUUUAAAUUUAUCAUGCUGUAA